UAGUUCUUUGAUCUGAGGUACAUCGACAGUUCACCUUGAGUGUGUUAUAGUUUGACUAUACCAUAACUUGAUCUCCUAGCCAUUCAAAAUUCUGAGGUGUAUGUUGGCUGUAGCAUAUUCAUUGUAGGAACUAGGUCGCACCAAGAUGGGAUCUAUCAACCUCGAUAGAUGAGAAGAGUAGUCCUAUGAUGAUCGAAAGAUCGAAUCCUUAAGCCCAUGGCCAU
rnacentral:lncRNA from 1 species